GAUUCCCCUAGUAACUGCGAGUGAAGCGGGAAAAGCUCAAAUUUAAAAUCUGGCGGUCUUUGGCCGUCCGAGUUGUAAUCUAGAGAAGUGUUACCGUGCCGGACCGUGUAUAAGUCUCCUGGAAUGGAGCGUCAUAGAGGGUGAGAAUCCCGUCUUUGACACGGACUCCCGGGGCUUUUGUGGUGCGCUCUCAAAGAGUCGAGUUGUUUGGGAAUGCAGCUCAAAAUGGGUGGUAAAUUCCAUCUAAAGCUAAAUAUUGGCGAGAGACCGAUAGCGAACAAGUACCGUGAGGGAAAGAUGAAAAGAACUUUGGAAAGAGAGUUAAACAGUACGUGAAAUUGCUGAAAGGGAAACGCUUGAAGUCAGUCGCGUUGGCUGGAAAUCAACCUUGCUUUUGUUUGGUGUACUUUCUAGUUGACGGGCCAGCAUCAGUUUUGACCGGUGGAAAAAGUUCAAGGGAAUGUGGCAUCUUCGGAUGUGUUAUAGCCCUUGGUCAUAUACAUCGGUUGGGACUGAGGAAUUCAGCACGCCGCAAGGCCGGGUUUCGACCACGUUCGUGCUUAGGAUGCUGGCAUAAUGGCUUUAAUCGACCCGUCUUGAAACACGGACCAAGGAGUCUAACAUGCCUGCGAGUGUUUGGGUGGUAAACCCGAACGCGUAAUGAAAGUGAAAGUCGGGAUCCUUGUCAUGGGGAGCACCGACGCCCGGACCUGAAGUUUACGGACGGCUCCGAGGUAAANCAUGUAUGUUGGGACCCGAAAGAUGGUGANCUAUGCCUGAAUAGGGUGAAGCCAGAGGAAACUCUGGUGGAGGCUCGUAGC
rnacentral:rRNA from 1 species